rnacentral:lncRNA from 1 species
CGUUAGGUAAAGAAAUGAUUUGAAAAAAGUUAGCUUUCAAAGUAAUCUGCUUGCCCAACCCUCCAUAACCGGGACGUAAAGCUAUUUCUGAGCUUGGUUUAUACGACAUCCUACUCACUCUGAAUCAUAAAGGACGAGUUGGCUGAAGACAAUUCGCUUUGGCGGUUGGAAGCUUAUAUAUACCAAACCCUAGAUUAGGACUCAUCAUAGUUGUCUUGUAUAUAAAACCUACUUGAGUUAUAAACUAUAUUAAAUCAAAAAACUAUCAAGAAAAUAUUUUAUUUAUCACUUUGUUAUUUACAUGCUUAAUACAUUCGAAUUUUCUAUAUACUAAGGUCUAUUUCUAUACUUCUCUGAGCACGCAAACGCAACAUAAGUCUUAUUUAAUUUCUGAACAUAAGAAAUAUAAGCUUAUCUUUAACAGCUUUUCUUAAAUUACCGCAUAAUUUUGUAUAGGUUUAUGUUUUUUUAAAGGUUCCAAAUCGACGGAUUUUUGAGUUUUAACCCUUCUUUCUUUAUAUCGUGGUUGUGAUUCAAUAAAAGUGAACCCAAUUGUUAUUUGUAACCAUUGACGAAAAUUAUAGUACAUUGAAUUACUAUUUGUUUACUAGUUCUAUAUUAACAAUACCGGGAGGUUCAAAAUCAAUGAUUACUACUUGUUUUCUUUUUCUUGUUAUAUUUGCUUGCUUGAAAUCCUCUUUAUAGUUAUAAUACAUUUUUACAACCUGCUUUUGAGAAUAUUAAUCUGGCAACUUUCAAGUAAAUGAUUUCGGUAAUUGCACUGAUUUUUGAAAAGUGUUGAUUUCGAACGUCUUUCAAAUUAAAACGGACAUUUUUUUAUGAAAUUAAAAUGCCUUGUGCUUUGUGUAAUACUCGUUAAACAGCUUACCGAAACUAACAACCUUUUUAAGAAGCGAAACUUAAUUAAAUCAAUAUAUUAUACUGAGUAAAUCAGUAAUUUCUGGACGAUCGGCCACAUAAAGAAGCAUUAUAAAUCGUUCUCCAUACUGUUAGGCUUUUGUUUUCAAUUCACGUUUUCUUUUCUGUAAUUAAAAUAUCAGUAAAGAAUUCGUUAUGCCAUUAUUUUAUAAAAAAUUUUUAUAAUCCUAUACAAUUGUGAAUUUACAUUGUAUUCAAAUGCUUUUUUACAUCCCUAUAUUUUACAGGCGUUCGCUGUUGUACCGCUUGUUUUUUUGAACACUGCUUAUUAUAAUUUUUUCGAUUAUUACAUUUGCGAAUACCUUUCGAGGAUUUUGGAACUACUAAACGCACAAAAAUUCGCUUCCCACUUCUGACAACUUUGUGGGUUUCAUGGUAAUUUGAAUGCUAUAAUAUUAACAGAUUGACACAGCGAUUUAGAUCCAUAUUUUAUUCUGUACAAAGUAAAUCUCUAACAUUUGGUAGACGGCUUUUGCCGUAAUAACCGUUGGUUUUGCAAUUUUGCGCCUUGUUUUCCAAACAUAGUAAACCGGUGCUUUUAGUUUAUUAUAUAGUGAUUUAUUGUGAACUUUAGUAUCGUGUCGUUAAUAUACUACUAUCCAGUGAUUACU